AAAACUUUGGACUUUAUUAUGUCUAGUUGAAACCCAUGAAAACAGUUAUGUUCUUAUACACAACAUCUGAAAAUGUAACUAUAAAACCGAGUUUUCUCUUAUGGAUAGUGUAACAGAACAGCAUACAUAAAAAGGAAAUGUCAAGUAGGAGCCCCAUCACAUUUCACAUUUCAGCACGGUUGUCUUCCUGCCUGUUCCCCUGGAGAAAGAAGGGGUCACCGAGGGUCUAAGAGCUGCAGGGACAGCUGAGGCACAGCUCUGCUCCCCCAGCCCGAGUCCCACAAGAUCAAAAUGAUGGAAACAGGAGGUAGGGGCCAGGCCAGUUCACGUGGCUGGAAGGCAGCAGUGGCAGGCACAGCUUCUCACUGGCUCAGUCUGGUUAUUACAAGGGUAUGGGAUCUUCACUUAGGACGGUGGGUGAUCUUCCCCCCGAAUGCUCCGAUACUUGGCCAUGUCUUCUGGAAACACUUUAGAAAGUUCCUGAAUCAGUAGGCUUUUAAAUUUCUAAAAACAAAAAUAGCUGUGUCAAAAAAAAUCCAAAUUAUACACAACACACCCCAUCCAAGGAACCCAGAAUCCAACUGAGCCAGCCACCCAAAGGGAUGGAACCAGGUCACUUAUCUUCCACAAGUUAACACCCAGAGUCAACUACUCAAUGUCUCCAAUUAACUUGUUAAAGGGACGUCACCUCUCUGAAAGGGGACUGUAUCUUUAAAACAAUUCCUUCCUUUUGGCUUAAGAAGGAAACACCCGACUGAGCACCUCCAACCAGGUGCUCCCACUGCAGUGGAGAGGCCGUCUGCAGGCAGCACACACCCCAGAAUCUUAGCGCUCACUGAAGCAAUUACUCACCGGAAUUACACAGGUCACAUGUGCAAACAUCUCCCAAGCUUUCUCUAGCCUUGGAGAGGCAUUAUCCACUUUUCCAGCCACCUAUCCCUCACAGUGAUUUUAUCCAGUCAAAAAAAAGUCUCUACUCUCAGGGCCACAGAGCCAGUGUCACAAAGACACAUACUAUCCCACUGCAACAACUGAAAAACUUUAACUGGUGCCCAAUGGGGGCAUGCAGGCCUCAGAAGUGUGCCUUGAGACUGUCACGGGUCUCAGGUGAGAAAUGGCAGCAAGAGUGGCAAGUGCUCAGGGAAAAUUAACCACAUGGGCACCAUCAAUGGGUAAUGCACUCCAGCACGGCCCAAGGCAAUGAGUCUGAGAUACAGGUAGGACCGAAGCCCCAGGGGCCAGUCACAAUCCAAAGGGUAUUUCUGCUGGGCAUCCAGGAAUUCCUCAGUCCAAGCUGACAGGGGAAAUGAUGCAGGGGCUCAGGGUUAUCCUGACCAACCCCACUCUGCAGCACAUGAUCUGACAGAGCCCCUUGCUCACUCCAGCUGCAGGCUCUCUGGGCUGCCUGCACACAGCAGACACAGCCAGCACGCGUAGGCCAGGCUGGCAUCAGGCAAGUGGCGGGCAGCACAGGUAGAGCAAGCAAUGCUGGAGUGAGGCUGGCAGGGCAGUGGACAGUGGGUGGAGAGAAAGUUACGGACACCCCUGCGCAAGGAACUCUGAGGAAGGCCAGGCUGAGCUGUCACAGGAAGCAAAGCCAGCUGAGCUGAGGAGGAGGCUCACUGUGCAAAAGGAACAUGAAUUCCAGGCCGAGGAGAACAACCCAAAACAGGGCCUGGUGGCUAACGGGGAGCCAGGAAACAAGGGCACACAGUGCUGUCCCUGUGACCACACACAGAGCACCCAUCUGAAAAGCAAGCACCGUCAGUGACCUCAGUGAGAAAACUGUAGUCCAUGUCAAGACACAGCUCCCUAGAGCAGCCAAGUUCUCUGUGUGCCGUGUCACAGUGUAAAGAACACUGAGGAGGAGCCCAGGGCUCAGACGUGAGAGACUAGAACAUACACCAUCCAGAGCCCUCCAACUGCAGCACCUUUAGCACCGGAAAGGCCUCCAGUCAGGGUCUACACAGAAUCACAACAGGCACACUGAUGUCAGCUGUCACCCAAGGGAAGUCAGACAGGAAAGCCACAGUGAAACCACCGCUGGCCGGGACAUUGCCAGAUAAACUCAGCCUCUCCUCACUGUCACACUGUCAGUUUGUGUUGUUUUCCACAGGACUAUGGCUCAGUGACAUUCAAUGUAACUAUUAUACAUGCUAGAAAGCCCACAGUGUAGCAGUACUCAGCAGUCCACAGAGUGGGUGCUAAGCCUGUCCGCAGGCUUGCUAGGAGCUCCCUUGUCCGUGUGCAGACAUCACUUCCUGUCUGCCUCACCUUCAUUGUGUCGAUCUUGCCCUUGACUUGCUCGUUUUUAGCUAGAGCCCUCUCCAGGCAUUCUUUGGUGUAGAGCUGGGGAUUCCGACCUUGAUCAAUGUAUCUGAAAAGAAGAACAUCAUAGUAAACACACGGCUGACUCUCCUAACCUCAGUUUUCUGGAAACUAGGACAAAAAAUAAAAAUCCAGCAGAUAUGCCCUCACAGGACCUGGUCCAGGAGCCGGGUGUGCUUACACGCUUGAGUUUCUCCAAGCUUCUCUCUAGUUUCUUCCAGCAGCUCAUGACAAGCCACACCCACUCACAUCUGUGCAGCACUCACACUGAAACGCAGUGCAUGAGAAGGGUGCAGCACAAAUCUAUGAUGCUACCUUUUGGAUUCUCCACAUGGUGAUAACGAAGCUGGUACUGUUCAAUGCAGUGCAAGAGCGCACAUCUGUGACAGGCACAGCCGGGAUGCACCGUGUACUCCAGGCCAGCCUGACUACUUGGGACAUGCUGGGUGGACAAGUCAGAAGGGAGGAGCAUCGGAGCCCUAUGAGGACACCAGUGUCCACUGGUGGGAGAGGGUGUUCUCAGUACACUGCAUUAUUAGUGUUUCUCUCCAGUUAGUCCAUAGGACAAAACUAUCUCUUGACAGUCAAUACUUUUAGCCAAAAUGCCAUAUCUUCAUGUCAUAAAGCCCACUGCCCACAAUAUCCAGAUUUUUCAAGAAUAGACUUCUUGGAUAUCUCUGUAUACUGAGUAAAUCUGUCACAUUUGCUAUAUUAAUUGGUCAUUAUAGAGAAAGGACACCACCACACCAAGUUCAAUUAAAAAAGUAACAAGCUGGGCAGUGGUGGCGCACGCCUUUGAUCCCAGCACUUGGAAGCAUGUUUUACAUUUUCAUGUGACACUAUUCUCAACAACACAACACUGGAGAGAGAGUUAUCCUUUUUUAACCCCAUUAGCCUACUACAACCCUAGAAGACUGGUGGUCCUGCCUGUGGCACCUGGGCCUCGCCUCCCUCCCUCUCACUGGCACUCACAGCUAACCAAGAAUCAGAGAGACCCAGUGAUACUUACUCAAAAACUUCCAGAGGCACCGUGAUAUCGUGCAGCUGCUGUCUGCAUUUAUCUAUGUCCUGUAAGCCCGUAACAAUAAAGUUUCUGGGAAAAAGGCAGAGUGGGGUACGUGGUUAGUUCAGAGGACAGCACAGCACACCCCUACACGGCACUGGCCACUGUGCUUCAAUUCCUGAGGGUUAAAACGGCCAAGGUCAAGGACACCGGGGCAGAUAACUGAGGUGGCAGCUGGGUAUGAGAUAGCCACGGGAACUGGAUAAGAGAACAAGGCCAGUCACAGCAGGCUCUGGUCUAGGCAAUGCGCCAGCUUGUUCCCAUCCCACAAAGCCCUCCUUGAGGGGCAAGACCACAACUCUAUACCUUAGUAAACAUCCCAAGUGAGACACAAUCCUGUCCCCAGCUUUAAGAGACUGAACUGUGGGUAAAGAUGGUUUCUUGGGCAGUCUCUCAUUCCAGAAAAGGGUCUCCCCUGGGUGGGGACACAGAGAGGCGGCUUCCAGGUCCAGACACUAGAGGCAGGCCUUGCCUUUCUGCUGGACUGGCCAUGUCUCAGCUAGGGCUAUGCUGGCUUCCUUCUCCCAGAUGAACCUGACUACCUGUCUGCUCUGCCUGUACCUUCAUGUUACCUUCCUAACCCAGGAGCACCAGCACCAAGGCAGCUCAGUGGCUGGGAUCAGAGGGAAGUCGGGAGACUGGCGCUAGCUACCUUAACAGGCUUCUUCCUCCCUAAUGCUGCACACACCUGAACCCUUAAUUGCCACGGGAUUCUGGGGACACCUUUGGACUUACAAAAUAUGUUCAGAGGCUUAAUUUUUCCCUUCUAAACUCAGAAAGGAGGUGAAGAGAGAGCAGAGCUUUCUGGAGUGCAUGUCACUGAAUGGAGUUUCAGGGUAGACAGCGUGGAGAAGUGGGCUCCAGUUUAAGUGCAGUACCCACAGUCAGCAAGGAAAAAGCCCAUCCCUAGUGGGUUGAACCUCGGCUCCCUCCAGAACCACUCCAGAUCCCUGGAAAGUGUCCCAUAUAUAAGCGGUGAGGCCUUCUCCUGAACACUGUGUUGUUUCCCUGUAGGCCAUUCCAAGGCCUACACAAGAUACUGUCAAGAAAUCAACCCUCUGUGGUGGCCUUCUUCCACAGCGAGGCCUAUGCAGCAGGUGGCUCAGGGCCCCCCUGAGGUGUGAAGUCAACCUCCCCAGUGCGGUGGGGUGCAGUGGGGUGGGGUGGAGUGUCCGUGGUGCCUACCUCCCCUUACGGCAUCAGGGUAGUCCCAGACUGUCCUGUAGGGUCAGAGUGGUGCCAGCCUCCCCUGUGGGGUCAGGAGGGAUCCUCCUCCCCUAUGGGGUCAGGGUGGAACCGGCCUUCCACGUCCGGCCAGGAUGGACCUAGAGCUACCUCUAUCCCAGCGGGGUCAUGACUGAGCCUCCUCUCCUGUGCGGUCAGAUCCUCCUUCCCAGUGGAGUCAGGGUGGAACCGGCCUCCAGUGGGGUCAGGAUGGAGCCCGUCCGCCCCGGUCAGGACGGAACUCGCCUCCCCUGUGAGGUCCGGUCAGGAUAGAACCGGCCUCCCCUCGGGGACCCGGGAUGAACGUUAGAGCCCCAGUGGGGUCCCCAAGGCCGGCGGGCAGGGGCUUCGCACAGACGCGCCGAGCCCUGCCGGGCCGUCACUCACAGCUUCUGGCUCAGCCCCGCCUGGCUGCUGGGCUGGAAGUCGCUGACGAUGAUGCCGAGCUGCCGAAUGUUCUCCACGAACUUCUCCAGGUGCUCCUCCAGAUGGUCAAACUUCUCCGCCAUCGCCGGCUCCGCCCGCC
ensembl:lincRNA Gm26819 predicted gene, 26819